rnacentral:rRNA from 1 species
ACAACGGAGAGUUUGAUCCUGGCUCAGGAUGAACGCUAGCGGCAGGCCUAACACAUGCAAGUCGAACGGUAACAUAGACUGCUUGCAGUCUGAUGACGAGUGGCGCACGGGUGCGUAACGCGUAUGCAACUUACCCUUAACUGGAGAAUAGCCUUUCGAAAGGAAGAUUAAUACUCCAUAGUAUUUCACCCCGGCAUCGGGGAGUUCUUAAAGCUUCGGCGGUUAAGGAUGGGCAUGCGUAAGAUUAGCUAGUUGGUAAGGUAA